rnacentral:lncRNA from 1 species
AUGAGUGGAGAUUCCUUCCUGAUAUUAUCUGAGCACCUGGAUCUACACAUACCUCCCUGUGAACUUUUCCAUUGUGAGCAAGUGACUUUCCUACUUUGCUUAAGCCUGUUUUAUUUGGAUUUAUGCCCUCUGUAGCUAGAAUCUGUGCCCUUUACCCACCUAGGUUUAACAGGAUUUUAUUAAAUUUAUGAUCCUGAGGCACUGGAAUGCAAAAAACCCAUUAGGAUAAUUUCCUUUAAUUCUGCAGAUUUCAGUAAACCCAGGGUUAACCUUUAAUCUGUUGAGAACUAUAUCCUAAUACUAGCAUUUCCUUUGUGUUAAAACUAAGUAGAAAUUUUAUGUUGACAGGAUAAUUUUUAAUUCAGGCUACUAGAAAAUAAAAUACCAUAUCUGUCUUUAUAGUACACUGGAGCAGACUAGACAUCACUGAAUUUUUGCCCCCCCAACCCUUUAUGCAUAUUUUCUUGCCUUUUAUUUAUUUUUUUAGUUACCAUUUGUCUUGAGAACAUAUAAGCUGUAAAGUGAGUCAUUUCCUUCUCAGUGAAUUCUUUUUCAAUCUGAUGUCAUUAUUAAAUUCCACAAUUAUAAAUUGUCAGUUACCCUAAGUUCCUGGUAUUGUUUAGGUCUCUGUUUAGCUGCAUUUUAAAAUUAAAGCAUUCACUCUUAGAUUAUUUAAACAACAGGACAAUUACAGUUUUCGUUAUUCUGUUAACCUCUGUACCAUGUGUGAAACUUUUGCCGUCUUUUAAAAAUUUUAUUUUAUUUUUUAAUUUUUGGAAUGUUGGAGCUAAUUCUCAACUAGAGGAAAUGUUUGAAGUAGUUCUCAAACCUCGGGAUGCUGACAACAGAAAUAGGUAAUCUGAAGCCUUCAGAAGAAAUCAAACAAUCAGAUUCUUAGAUUCUAAGCCCUUUUGAGUCCUGAGUGAACCAAGACUGUCAUCUUCCCAGGGUACCUCCUGACCAAGAAAAACAAAUACUUCAAAGACCAGAUGGUAAGUGUCUAGUGCUCACAUCUAAUCCAAACUCUGGAACCGCAUCCUCACAUUUCAUUCCACCUUGAACCUUGGCUGAGCUCCAGCAAGACUUGGGUUUUAAUGAAUCAUUCUUGAUUAGUCACAGCGCAAUACUCAAAUAGUCUCUUCUGGCUUAGAAAUCGUAGCUUGCAGAUCCUCGAUUAUUAUUUAAUUCCUUAAUGUUCUUCCUUGUUUUCUCUAAAUGCCACAUCAUUUUAUCACAAUGCAAAUUAUUUUGGAACUCAAGGGACACAAUUAUCUGGCUGCUAAAGCAACUUUUGAAAAAUGAACCACUCUUAGCAUAAAAUCUGUUAAUCCGAAUUCUGCUAAUCCACCACAAUGAAUAAAAUCCUAUAAAGUCACA